UUCGGGACAGAAUGACAGGUGGUGCAUGGUUGUCGUCAGCUCGUGUCGUGAGAUGUUGGGUUAAGUCCCGCAACGAGCGCAACCCUUGCUAUUAGUUGCUACAUUUAGUUGAGCACUCUAAUGGGACUGCCGUUGACAAAACGGAGGAAGGUGGGGAUGACGUCAAAUCAUCAUGCCCCUUAUGACCUGGGCUACACACGUACUACAAUGGCUAUUAACAAAGGGGUGCGAAGCCGCGAGGUGGAGCGAAACCCCAAAAAUAGUCUCAGUUCGGAUUGUAGGCUGAAACUCGCCUAUAUGAAGUUGGAAUCGCUAGUAAUCGCAGAUCAGCAUUGCUGCGGUGAAUACGUUCCCGGGUCUUGUACACACCGCCCGUCACACCAUGGGAGUUGAUUGCACCAGAAGCAGGUAGCCU
rnacentral:rRNA from 1 species